rnacentral:lncRNA from 1 species
UUUCCUGGGAUGAACUUUUUGCCGCGCCGAGUUUGGCUAGUACGUCAGCCUCUUCAAUAUAGUUUCUUUUCACUAAGUUUAUUUUUAUUGAGUCGAAAUUUUUUAUUGCUUUUGAUAAAGCACUGAAUCUGCUACCAAGAGGCUCACGGGGUUGCGAGGAGGGCCGGAGGCUCUGGAGUCCACGACGCGUGCUCAACGUCAAAUCCCGUCAGAGGAGAAUAGACGAUUUAGGUGUGGAAAUCGACGAUUCUCUCUGGUAUACUCUAGUGUGGUUGGAACUUG